CAGCAGUGGCUCCGUUGACUUUUUGUCCAACGUUUGACCGUUCGUCUUAUUAAAAAAAUUUAUGUAAUUAUUAUUUAUUUUAUUAUGCCUUGAUUCGCCAUCAAAUAUUCAUUAAGCAUGACAUAAAUAUUUUCAUAUUUACACAACAAUUUUGAAUAAAACGAAUCGUUAAACGUUGGUCUAAAAGUCAACAGCGUCAUACAUU
rfam:Oryza glaberrima chromosome 11 Oglab11_0115_3, whole genome shotgun sequence.